UGCCAGCCGCCGCGGUAAUACGGAGGGUGCAAGCGUUAAUCGGAAUUACUGGGCGUAAAGCGCGCGUAGGCGGUUUAGUAAGUUGGACGUGAAAGCCCAGGGCUCAACCUUGGAACUGCAUUGGAAACUGGCGAACUUGAGUACGGGAGAGGAAAGUGGAAUUCCGAGUGUAGGGGUGAAAUCCGUAGAUAUUCGGAGGAACACCAGUGGCGAAGGCGGCUUUCUGGACCGAUACUGACGCUGAGACGCGAAAGCGUGGGGAGCAAACAGGAUUAGAUA
rnacentral:rRNA from 1 species